UUGUCAAACUUUUGUUUCAUUUUCAACAAAAUAAAAGAAACCCAAAACCCAACCCAAUUUUUUAGUUUCAUUAUUAUUGCAUCAUCUCUCUCACUCAAAUUGUUGAUGCCGGUGGCUUGAAUAACCCGGCCACUACUGUCCCAUGAUUUUCUUUCUCCUUUGCUCUGUUCUGUCCGUUGAUUUCAAGCAACAUGAACUCAUUUUUAGUCUUUGUUCCUUCAUAAAAGUUGUAGAUCUCUUCGAGUUAUUGAAUUUAGGCUCAAAAAUUUCUUCAAUCGGAGUUCGAAGCUAGGAGUUAUGCUCUCUGAAAGUUGUAGUUGUUGCUGCCCCUGUUGUUGCGUUGCUACAACGUAUUGUAGCUGAUGUAUGCUACCUCUUUUCAGUUUGAUUUCUGUUUAUAAGGAAACCCAAAUCAAUCUGAUUCAAAUUCUACCGAGCUUUCGAGUUCAUUAAAGUGUCGUUUUGGAGGUGGUUGUUUUGCUGUGAUUAGUAAGAGGUACAUGAAGGUAAUGUAUAAUGAAGAAGGUUCGAUGUUCGAAGUUUGCUGUAUGCUUUAUACUAUUUGUAUCGCGGCGAGGACGAUCAACUUUGUAAUAUUAUAAUAGUUAAUCUGUAAUUAAAUUAAAAAGGUUUAAGUUUGUAAA